GCUUAGUCUGUCUCCCUUAGCCCUUACACCAUGCAGCAACGGAGAAACAAUACUUUCCAAAGGUCCUCUCCACACCUGGCCUUCUCUACUGACCACCUUACCAUUUCCCGUUUCGGAAAAGUUUGGGCCCUUGACCACUGAAGAGGAAAAGAUUCUAUUAUAAUAUGUCUUAGGCAGUUACUGGAUGGAAGUUGUGGAAGAACAACAGUGAAAGUCUUGGUAGCACUGUCACUUCUGGCUCACAAAAUUAACUGCAUUUGGGGCAUUAAAAAGUCAUUUUUUUCCCUUUUCCGAUGAUCUUUAUUGUCUAGUCAGAUAAUUGGAUAAAG
rnacentral:lncRNA from 1 species